ensembl:scaRNA
GUGGUCUCGGGCUAAAGCCGCAGCGUUGCCAGCGAUGGCUGUAUGCUGGAGCUCCGCCUGGGAGACCUAAAUUACACCAGAGGAGGCCGCUCAGGCUGACUCUGGCAGUGCAGGUGUGGGCAUGCAUACAGCUGUUUGAUGCUCAUGUAUAAGACUGCAGACACAU